rnacentral:rRNA from 1 species
UACGUAGGGUGCGAGCGUUCAUCGGAAUUACUGGGCGUAAAGCGUGCGCAGGCGGUUUUGUAAGCCAGAUGUGAAAGCCCCGGGCUUAACCUGGGAAUGGCAUUUGGGACUGCAAGGCUUGAGUGCGGCAGAGGAGACUGGAAUUCCUGGUGUAGCAGUGAAAUGCGUAGAUAUCAGGAGGAAUACCGAUGGCGAAGGCAGGUCUCUGGGCUGACACUGACGCUCAUGCACGAAAGCGUGGGGAGCAAACAGG